GAUGAACGCUAGCUACAGGCUUAACGCAUGCAAGUCGAGGGGUAACGAGAGGGAAGCUUGCUUUCCUUGUCGACGACCGGCGCACGGGUGAGUAACGCGUAUCCAACCUGCCCCCGACUAGGGAAUAACCUUGCGAAAGUAAGACUAAUACCCUAUAAUUUCCUCAGAUGUCAUCUGACGAGGAAUAAAGAUUUAUCGGUUGUGGAUGGGGAUGCGUCUGAUUAGCUUGUUGGCGGGGUAACGGCCCACCAAGGCAACGAUCAGUAGGGGUUCUGAAAGGAAGGUCCCCCACAUUGGAACUGAGACACGGUCCAAACUCCUACGGGAGGCAGCAGUGAGGAAUAUUGGUCAAUGGGCGGAAGCCUGAACCAGCCAAGUAGCGUGCAGGAUGACGGCCCUAUGGGUUGUAAACUGCUUUUAUACAGGAAUAAAGUUAGCCACGUGUGGUUAUUUGUAGGUACUGUAUGAAUAAGGACCGGCUAAUUCCGUGCCAGCCGCCGCGGUAA
rnacentral:rRNA from 1 species